AUGCACCUCCCAAAACCACUGGCACUCCUGAACAACCAGCUGAGUGUGGCCAUCCGGAUGCCUCCCCUCGAGCUUGAGGAGGAGCCGCUGGCCCUGCUCCUGCAGACUGUGCUCUCCUCCUGUGGGCCACCUGCAGCUGGACAGGCAUCGCCCAUGGUCCCACUGUUCCCCCGAGGCCUCGCACAGGACGUGACCGGCUACUGUGCCAACGGGUUUGGCCUGGGCUGCCCCAUGGAAGGAGCCCCAUCCUGCACCCAGAGCCUGCUGGGACAUGCCUUGGGCUCCCAGGUCCCAUCACAGCUGGAAAAAGAUGAGGAGACAAGUGAUGGGGAUGAUGUGCCGGAGCAGCUGGUGCCAGUGGGACUGACCAGAAACAGCUACAUAGGUGACAGGGACAGCCGUGCACCCGAGACAUGGCUCACCCCGCACCUCCAGCUGUAUUCUAAAUGCCAGUGCCCAGCCCUGGGAGCAGGCAGACGCCUUCCUCUGCCCAUGCCCGGCAGGAGCUGCAGUCAGGAGGACCUGCGGGAGGGCCUCGGCAUGGCCAGGCACUGGGUCCCACUCAGCUCCGUGAAGCUGCCGGCCAGUGAGGAGGAGGAGGGAGGGCAGCUCCUCUGUGCUCUCCGGCCCCUGCCUGGCAUGGGGACUGAGCCAGGCAACAGCACCAUGCAGCGAGGCCACUCAGAGCAGGCAGCACCGGGCAUCCCCAGCCCCUACCAGCCACCACCUUCGCCCGGCAACGUCCCGCGGGCAGCUGCCUUCUCCGGCUAUGAGCCACGUGCCCCACCUGGGCCACCGUGAGGGGGGGCACCCUGGGGAUCUCCAGGAGCCCCCAGCUCCCAGCACAGCCCAAGGUGCCCCCCAGCCACGGUGGCUGCCUGCCCCAACCUGCUGGUGCCAGGCUGGGGACAGGGCAGGGGCAGGUUCCCACGGGCAGGCACAGGAGUGCUCCAGGCUCAGCUGCCAUGGAUGGGCAGGAUCCGCAUCUCCAGAGCUUCCCUUCCAGGCUUUUGGUGCUAUGGAGCCAAAGCAUAAGGAGAAGAGACCAAAGUUCAACUCCCAAAACUCUUAUCUAUUUAUCUACUUGUAUGUGUGUAUAUGUGGUACAGUAUCUAUACUAAUGCAAAUUUAUGUAACACUCAUAUAUAAGCCCUCUUUAAUGAAAGAGAUUGGGGUUUUUUACUUCUCUGGAAAUACUGACUGUGUGCUGGAGUUGUUUUUAAAUAUCACUCAUUUAUUACAGAAAGCUGGUUUCUGUGCUCACUGUUUCUGUGUUACAGACCCAGCACGGCCGUGUCUGAACAGCAGCUGGGAAAGGCACUGGGAAAACCGGGGGAAGGUCAGCAAACCCUUUCUGUCCUGAUACCUUUCGUUUGAGACUGGUGACUAAAACGUUUCCACCUUUGG
rnacentral:lncRNA from 1 species